rnacentral:rRNA from 1 species
GCUUGUAUAAAAACGAACGUUCAAAGUAAAUGUAGAAAAAGACACAAAAGGGCAAUGAAUUACCGGCCGCCAAUUCGACUGAUCGCUCUUAGCGGAGAGUCCGCACAAUGGACUGAGAUACGCCCAUACACUACGGUGCAGCAGUAGAAUUUGCGCAAUGAACGAAAGUCUGACGCAGCGACAUCGCGUGUAGGAUGACGGCCCUCGGGUGUAAACUACUUUUAUUUCAAAAUAUGUGUUUUGAAUAAGCACCUACUAACUACGUGCCAGCAGUCGCGGUAAUACGUAGGGUGCAAGCGUUACCCGGUUUAUUGGGCGUAAAGGGUCUGUAGGCGGCCUUUUAAGUCUUGUUUCAAAGCCUCCGGCUCAACCGGAGAAAGGGGCAGGAUACUAGAAGACUAGAGUGAUAUCGGAGUUACUGGAAUUUAUAGUGUAGGGGUUAAAUCCGUGGAUACUAUAAAGAACACCAAGCGCGAAGGCGGGUAACUAGGUAUAUACUGACGCUGAAAGACGAAAGCUAGGGUAGCAAAUCAGAUUAGAGACCUGAGUAGUCCUAGCCGUAAACGAUGUCUGUUAAUUUUCUUUGACUUUUGUCAGAGGAGAUGUAAGCUAACGCGUUAAACAGACCGCCUGGGGAGUAUAGCCGCAAGGCCGAAACUCAAACGAAUUGGUGGGGAGGCGCACAACCAGUGGAGCAUGUGGUUCAAUUCGAUACGAAGCGAUGAACCUUACCUGGGCUUGACAUAUAUUUGCACGGCCCCCGAAAAGGGGCCUUCCUUCGAGGGUAAUAUACAGCUGUUGCAUGGCUGUCGUCAGCUCGUGACGUGAGUUGUUCUCUUAAGUGAGGUAACGAGCGCAACCCCUAUCGUAUGUUACUGUGUCAUACGAAACUGCCCAGCAUUAUUUUUGUUGGGAGGAAGGAGGGGACGACGUCAAGUCAGCAUGAUGCUUAUGUCCAGGGCUACAAACAUCCUACAAUGGGAUCUACAAUGGGUUGCAAUAUCGUAAGAUGGAGCUAAUCCUUAAAUUUCCUCAGUUGGGACUGCGGGCUGAAAUUCCCCCGCAUGAACUUGCAAUGGUAGUAUCGAGAUCGCAGACUGCGGUGAAUACGUCUCGCCUCUUGCACACCUGCCCGUCAAAUAGCAAAGUCGGGAGCACCAAUAUUCCGCUUUUGCCGAACUAAGGUGAAUCCAGCACGACGCUAAGUCCUAACAGGUAACC